rnacentral:rRNA from 2 species
AGGUUAAGUUAACAAGGGCGCAUGGUGAAUGCCUUGGCACUAGGAGCCGAUGAAGGACGGGACUAACACCGAUAUGCUUCGGGGAGCUGUACGUAAGCUAUGAUCCGGAGAUUUCCGAAUGGGGCAACCCAGCAGUUUUAAUCAACUGUUACCACUAGAUGAAUUCAUAGUCUAGUUGGAGGUAAACGCUGUGAACUGAAACAUCUCAUUAGCAGCAGGAAUAUAAAGAAAUUUCGAUUCCCUAAGUAGCGGCGAGCGAACGGGGAACAGCCCAAACCAAAGUGCUUGCACUUUGGGGUUGUAGGACUGAACAUUUGAGUUACCAAAGAACUUGAUAGUCGAAGGAUUUGGGAAAAUCCGCCAUAGAUGGUGAUAGCCCAGUAGAUUAAAUCAAAUUCUCUCAGUUCAGGAUCCUGAGUACGGCGGAACACGUGAAAUUCCGUCGGAAUCCGGGAGGACCAUCUCCCAAGGCUAAAUACUACCUAGUGACCGAUAGUGAACCAGUACCGUGAGGGAAAGGUGAAAAGCACCCCGGGAGGGGAGUGAAAUAGUUCCUGAAACCAUGUGCCUACAAUAAGUCAGAGCGCGUUAAUGCGUGAUGGCGUGCCUUUUGUAGAAUGAACCGGCGAGUUAUGAUCCCGUGCAAGGUUAAGACUAAAAAGUCGGAGCCGUAGCGAAAGCGAGUCUGAAAUGGGCGUUUUGAGUACGAGGUUAUAGACCCGAAACCAGGUGACCUAUCCAUGUCCAGGUUGAAGGUGCGGUAAAACGCACUGGAGGACCGAACCCGUGUAAGUUGAAAAUUGCUGGGAUGAGGUGUGGAUAGCGGUGAAAUUCCAAACGAACUUGGAGAUAGCUGGUUCUCUCCGAAAUAGCUUUAGGGCUAGCCUCGGAAUUAGGAUCAUGGAGGUAGAGCACUAUUUGGACUAGGGGCCCGUCUUGGGUUACUGAAUUCAGAUAAACUCCGAAUGCCAUUGAUUCAUAUCCGGGAGUCAGACGAUGAGUGAUAAGAUCCACCGUCGAAAGGGGAACAGCCCAGACCAUCAGUUAAGGUCCCUAAAUGUAUGCUAAGUGGAAAAGGAUGUGGAGUUGCAUAGACAACUAGGAUGUUGGCUCAGAAGCAGCCACCAUUUAAAGAGUGCGUAAUAGCUCACUAGUCGAGUGAUCCUGCGCCGAAAAUGUACCGGGGCUAAGCAUACUACCGAAACCAUGGAUGCGACCAUUAGGUCGCGUGAUAGGAGAGCGUUCUAAGGGCGGUGAAGCAAGAUCGUGAGGACUUGUGGAGCGCUUAGAAGUGAGAAUGCCGGUAUGAGUAGCGAAAGAUAGGUGAGAAUCCUAUCCACCGAAUGACUAAGGUUUCCUGGGGAAGGCUCGUCCUCCCAGGGUUAGUCGGGACCUAAGUCGAGGCCGAGAGGCGUAGACGAUGGAUAACAGGUUGAGAUUCCUGUACUAGUUAAGUGCGUUUGAGCAAUGGAGGGACGCAGGAGGCUAAGAUGUGCAUUCUGUUGGAUUAGAAUGUCCAAGCAGUAAGUCUUGUGAAGAGUCAAAUGCUUUUCACUUUAAGGACAAGCUGUGAUGGGGAGCGAAAUUUAGUAGCGAAGCGUCUGAUGUCACACUGCCGAGAAAAGCUUCUAGUGAGUACUUAACUACCCGUACCGCAAACCGACACAGGUAGUCGAGGAGAGAAUCCUAAGGUGAGCGAGUGAACUCUCGUUAAGGAACUCGGCAAAAUGACCCCGUAACUUCGGGAGAAGGGGUGCUGAUCGCAAGAUCAGCCGCAGUGAAUAGGCCCAGGCGACUGUUUAUCAAAAACACAGGUCUCUGCAAAAUCGUAAGAUGACGUAUAGGGGCUGACGCCUGCCCGGUGCUGGAAGGUUAAAAGGAUGGGUUAGCUUCGGCGAAGCUCAGAAUUGAAGCCCCAGUAAACGGCGGCCGUAACUAUAACGGUCCUAAGGUAGCGAAAUUCCUUGUCGGGUAAGUUCCGACCCGCACGAAAGGCGUAACGAUCUGGGCACUGUCUCAACGAGAGACUCGGUGAAAUUAUAUUGUCCGUGAAGAUGCGGAUUACCCGCGACAGGACGGAAAGACCCCAUGGAGCUUUACUGUAGCUUGAUAUUGAGUGUUUGUACAGCUUGUACAGGAUAGGUAGGAGCCAUAGAAACCGGAACGCUAGUUUCGGUGGAGGCGUUGGUGGGAUACUACCCUCGCUGUAUGACCACUCUAACCCGCACCACUAAUCGUGGUGGGAGACAGUGUCAGGUGGGCAGUUUGACUGGGGCGGUCGCCUCCUAAAAAGUAACGGAGGCGCCCAAAGGUUCCCUCAGAAUGGUUGGAAAUCAUUCGCAGAGUGUAAAGGCACAAGGGAGCUUGACUGCGAGACAGACAGGUCGAGCAGGGACGAAAGUCGGGCUUAGUGAUCCGGUGGUACCGUAUGGAAGGGCCAUCGCUCAACGGAUAAAAGCUACCCUGGGGAUAACAGGCUUAUCUCCCCCAAGAGUCCACAUCGACGGGGAGGUUUGGCACCUCGAUGUCGGCUCAUCGCAUCCUGGGGCUGUAGUCGGUCCCAAGGGUUGGGCUGUUCGCCCAUUAAAGCGGUACGCGAGCUGGGUUCAGAACGUCGUGAGACAGUUCGGUCCCUAUCCGUCGCGGGCGUAGGAAAUUUGAGAGGACCUGUCCUUAGUACGAGAGGACCGGGAUGGACAUACCUCUGGUGUACCAGUUGUGCCGCCAGGCGCAUCGCUGGGUAGCUACGUAUGGAUGUGAUAAACGCUGAAAGCAUCUAAGUGUGAAACACACCUCGAGAUGAGAUUUCCCAUUCCUUUAUGGAAGUAAGACCCCUGAAAGAUGAUCAGGUAGAUAGGUUAGAAGUGGCAGUGCGGUGACGCAUGAAGCGGACUAAUACUAAUCGGUCGAGGACUUAACCAAG